rnacentral:lncRNA from 1 species
GACCUUCCAAUUUACGAGCAUAACCCGCAAUUUGUAUGGGCUUGUUUGCGAGACCUUUUUUUUUAACGGACUUAAGAUAUAUAUGUCCUAAGCCCGCGGGCUAGUCGGCACAGCUGAUAAGUGUGACUCUCAGCUGAUUCUGUGAAGAACAUGUUACAUCCUUGAAUCAAAGAACAUGCAUAGCUUUUGCUAAGUUGAAUAUCAUCCAAUUUGGAUAUAAGAUAGAUAUGAAAUUUUACAUAAUCAAUCGUCCAUAAAAAUCUAUAAUAAUUAGCUUACAAGACAGAGUAAUAUCAUAAGAAGAAGAACCCAACAAAUUGGUAAAAUUAUCCAAACAAAUUCAGAAGAACUCAAGUUUUCUUUUUCUUAGCUUCUCCAUUUCUUUCUAUCUCCUCUCUCAGUUACUUCCUUCCCCUUCAUUCCAAUCUUUAACCACCCAAUCUCUACCUCUGAAACACCAAACUCCAAACGCAGACACCAACUUGCAUACAGUGUUCUGAUGAAGGCUGCAAUGGUAUUAUAGAAGAUUCAACAAAAUGGUUAAAUACCCAAGACAGCUUUCGAUCAGUGUCUUCUUCGCUUAUUUGCAGUGUUUAUUCCUGU